GUCCCUUCGAGAACACUUGAUAAAAGCGGAACAAUAUAAAGAAGAUUAGAAUUGCCUAAUGAUAUAGAGAAGAUUUGCAUAGCCUCUGCGUAAUGAUGACACACAAAAAUCAAGGAAUGGCCCAAAAUUUU
rnacentral:snRNA from 1 species